rnacentral:lncRNA from 1 species
UUGUUAUUUAUGUUACGUAUAUCACUGAUAGAAGUCUUCUUGCCUCGAAGUACUCUGUGAAAAAGGCUCGUCCUCGAAAUAUCAUGAUCCUCAUUCGGAUCAAAACCCUGCAGGGAAGGCCCGAAGUGUAAUCCCAUCACCAAACAGAACUCGAGGGUCCCAAUUCGCAUGUCGUGUCCACAAACGUGGAACCACUUUUCCCAUACACCAAACUGCGGGUCGUACAACUUUCGUGCAAGAAGCUGGUACAGUGCGGCAUUGGCGCUCUCUUCCCUCUUCAAAUCAUGUAAGUGGCCAAACGGACUACAUUUGAAUUCCUCAAAACGACGGUAACGCUCCAAACACUUCUACACAUCCUUUAAUAAAGCUAUCCGGAUAUAGUGAUUGAUACGUCCGGCAUAACUCUGGAUAUGUGGACGUAACCAAGCAUAACGAGGAGGUUGCAAUUAAUUAAAAAUAAUUAGAAUCAACCAAAAUCAAACAAAAACAAUCAAACAGUGCCCGAAAAGCAAACCGUGCACAUAACAACCAACCGUGCACACCAGAACACUUUUCAGUUCAUAACCGUGCACAGAAGAACCGAUCGUGCACUAAGGACCCAACCGUGCACGGUUGAAUCGUGCACACCAGAAUACUUUUCAGUACAUAAAAACAUAAAACAAAGUGUAAUAACACAACCUUGCAAAACCUAAUCGAAAUCGUACGCAACUGUGCACGGAAGAACCAAUUGUGCACUGAAGAACAAACCGUGCAUGAUUAAAUCGUGCACAAAAUUAAUUCCAAACUUCAAAAUAUAUCAUGAGAGCAUAUUAAUAUAAAACACAUCAAUAAAAUCUAACUGUGUACAAGAAAAAUGAAACCGUGUCUAAUCGUGCACGGUUAGUUCCAAACAUUUUUCAGAUUGCAGAUAUGAUAAUUCGAUACAUAUUCCAACACAUAAACACCCAAUAAUCAACUAUUGUGCACUCAUAAAUAUUACACGACACUCAAAUUCAACGUUUAACAAAUAUAGGGUACGAUUACUUACCGGAUUCGGCCCCGGGUAUUGUUCCUUCUUCUUUGAUUUACUCCAGUGAAUUGGCUAUUAUACCUCUC